CACAACUAAUACAGGCAGCCUCUCUUUCUCUCUCUCCUCUCGCAAUUUUCCCACUCCAGAGCACUGCUGCAGUGCAGCUGAAGCAGCAGAACCCUGCACUCCCAUGGAGUUAUUUAUAUACCAGAGAGAGAGAGAGAGAUGAACAGUUAGAGGGCAGAAAUAAGAAACCCAAGCUGGGGUCACUUACUGUGGACACAGGUGACCAGGUCUCCCUUCUUUUUUUCGCCAAACUGCUCCACACAUGCUGAAGAGACAAGAGGAGAGUCCUUCAUCAGAUGCCGUCAUAAUAAGCUUCAUCAAAGUCAAGCAGCUGCUCAUUCACACGGAUCUCCAUGCAGCCGUGGUAGUAGGCCGAGACAGGUGUGGAGGACAGAGGAAGAUCUAGACAGAGGGAAAGCAAAUAAGAGGAGAGAGACAGAGAAAAAUGAAGGAGCACUGAGCUCAUCAGAGGAGAAAUUGUAUUACGUGACGAGUGUAUGAAGACAACAGAGGGAAAGCAGAGAGAAGCGUGGAGUACCUGGAAGUCCCCCGAUGUAGGUGUCAACUGGUUGCUGCAUGGUGCCAUUGAGUUUGGUCAAGGCCUGUCUGAGAGCCUCAGUGUCAGCGUAGGAGACAGUGGAGGAAUUAGCUGCAAGCUGGAGGCCAUCUGCAGACACAUGCAACUCCACCACCAAAUGCUCCGGAUAACACAGCAUCAGUGACUGGAGCUUCGCAACUGAAACGCCAUCCAGAAACACCUGCAGGUCCUAUCAUAGAGAUGUAAUGUAAGUGUACACGUGUGGAAGUCUUAAAGCUGACAGAAGUGCUGAUCUACCCAAGGAUGGACUUGGGUAAUUCAAAUUCAUCAUUAUCUAAACUCAUCUUAAUAGUUCUUUCCUAAUCUGGGAAUUCAAAUAAGGCAUAUUCAAACUGUAAUUUGUAAUAAAGGAAUGAAAUCAAAUGUCAAAUGUUAAAUAAAUCAAAUGAUAUCA